UAAGCGGAGGAAAAGAAACCAACAGGGAUUGCCUUAGUAACGGCGAGUGAAGCGGCAACAGCUCAAAUUUGAAAUCUGGCCCCCUCGGGGUCCGAGUUGUAAUUUGUAGAGGAUGCUUCGGCGAGGGCUCCCGUCUAAGUUCCUUGGAACAGGACGUCGUAGAGGGUGAGAAUCCCGUAUGCGAUGGGUUGCCCGAGCCAUGUGAAGCUCCUUCGACGAGUCGAGUUGUUUGGGAAUGCAGCUCUAAAUGGGAGGUAAAUUUCUUCUAAAGCUAAAUACCGGCCAGAGACCGAUAGCGCACAAGUAGAGUGAUCGAAAGAUGAAAAGCACUUUGGAAAGAGAGUUAAAAAGUACGUGAAAUUGUUGAAAGGGAAGCGCUUGCAGCCAGACUCGUCCGCAGUUGCUCAGCCGGUCUCCUGACCGGUGUACUCUUCUGCGGCCGGGCCAGCAUCAGUUCGGGCGGUCGGAUAAAGGUCCCGGGAAUGUAGCUCCUCUCGGGGAGUGUUAUAGCCCGGGGCGGAAUGCGGCCAGCCCGGACUGAGGAUCUCGCUUCGGCUAGGAUGCUGGCGUAAUGGCUGUAAGCGGCCCGUCUUGAAACACGGACCAAGGAGUCUAACAUCUACGCGAGUGUUUGGGUGUCAAACCCAAGCGCGUAAUUAAAGUGAACGGAGGUGGGAACCCCUCGCGGGGUGCACCAUCGACCGAUCCUGAUGUCUUCGGAUGGAUUUGAGUAAGAGCGUAGCUGUUGGGACCCGAAAGAUGGUGAACUAUGCCUGAAUAGGGUGAAGCCAGAGGAAACUCUGGUGGAGGCUCGCAGCGGUUCUGACGUGCAAAUCGAUCGUCAAAUUUGGGUAUAGGGGCGAAAGACUAAUCGAACCAUC
rnacentral:rRNA from 1 species